UACGAAUGAGGAGACUGGCAGCCA
rnacentral:piRNA from 1 species